rnacentral:lncRNA from 1 species
UAGUCCAGCGGCGUUUAAUGCAGACCACGACCCGGAACUUGUGUGUUGGGGCCACUUGUGCACGCGUCCCACUGGCGGCAGCAACAUGCGAGGAACAAAGGUGAGGGAGCCUGGAGACCUCCGACCGGCUGGCUGGUUCAAGACACAUGGACUUGAAGGGGAGAGGGACACGUGCAGGGGAUGCAGGGCGUGUGUGCAUGUGUGUGCGCCCGUGUGUCUGUGUGCGUGUCUGUGCACAACUGUGUGUGCACGUGUGUCUGUGUGCGCCUCUGUACAUGUGUGUACGUGUCUGCACACACGUGUGUGAGCCCAUGUGUACACGUGUGUCUGCAUCUGUGCAUGUGUGUAUCUGUGCACAAGUGUGUGAGCCCACGUGCACAUGUGUGUCUGCAUCUGUGUGUCUGCACACAAGUGUCUGAGCCCAUAUCACACGUGUUUCUGCAUCUGUGUGUGCAUGUAUGUGCACAAGUGUGUGUGCCUGUGUGCACGUGUCUGCAUCUGUGCAUGUGCAUGUCUGUCAUAGUGUGUGCGCACAUGUGUGUCCGCAUCUGUGUGUGUCCGUGCGUGGGUGUGUAGCUGUGUGCACAAGUGCCCAUGUGCCAGGGGAGGCCGGCAGGACGGGUGGAGGAGGCGGAGAGUUCGUUAAUUUUUCCUGCACAUGGUAAAUAUAAUUUCCUCUUGAGAUUUUGAGAGCGGUUUCUGAAGAGACGUGUUUGGCCUUUGGAUUCACAGCACUUGGGCCCCAUGAGUGUGUCUGUGCUCCCGUGUGUGCAGGACCACUGCUGCGUGCACGCAAACAGGCCGUCGCUCCCAAGGCCCUGCCCGGGGUGUGGCGGACGCUUGGACCUCCAGGCGGGCCACGGUCGCGGUGAGGCCCCUCGGGGUUCCCUGAUGGCCUGUCACCCCGGCACGUGCGCUGCAGGUUCACUGGGUACCUACACCUCUGGGCUGUCCCCGCCCCGCGCCGAGGGUCCCAGGGUCAGAGGGUCUCAGGAGGCACACGGAGCGCGUGCACAGCUGCUCGGGCCACAGCAGGGACUGCGGAGGGCGCCACCCUCGGAUGGAGACAGCGUGGAGCGAGGUCACGUGGAGUGGGCACAUGGGGCAGGAACCCGUGGGGGCAGGCCCUGGUGGGGGCAGACCCAGGUGGAGCAGGCCCCGGGGGGCGGGGGCAGGCCUGGGUGGGAGCAGGCCUGGGUGGAGCAGGCCUGGGUGGAGCAGGCUCAGGUGGGAGCAGGCCUGGGUGGAGCAGGCCUAGGUCGGGGCAGGCCCGGGUGGAGCAGGCUGGUUCCCCAGGGAUAGUGACCGUGGGGGACGUGGGGGACGGGUCUGGGCCCCCAGCACUGAGGGGCAGGGGCUCUCCGUAGCCUGAGUGACCUUGGCCUGUCCUUCAUCCCCGCCCCCUCUGUGAGCUCAUGGGCAGCGCCUCCAGGCAAACUGGGGGGAUAGGCCUGUGGAGCCCCAGCGCUCUGCUCCCACGUCUGCAGUUGUGUGUGUGUGUGUGUGUGUGUGUGUUUAAUUUCAAUUCUCCACCAUAUGAUCUAACACCCUGUGCUCCUCCCAUCACGUGCCUCCUUC